rnacentral:tRNA from 4 species
GGAUGGGUGGCGGAGCGGUCGAACGCACCGGUCUUGAAAACCGGCAGACCUCCACGGGUCUCGUGGGUUCGAAUCCCACCCCAUCCGCCA